CAGGCCUCCUGCAGGGCAGGGAGCCAGAUGCGGGGCUCGAUCCCAGGACCCUGGGAUCAUGACCCAGGCCAAGGACAGUUGCUUAACGACUGAGCCACCCAGGUAUGCCUCAUCAUGGGACUUCAGAGAGAAGGGUGCCUUGACCAGUGGUUUCCAGAUGGCUAAGCGUACGUUUUGGGUUUGUGCAAAUAUGUACUCCUGUGUGAACACCAUUCCAGUAAAGAUACAACGUAUUUCCAGCACCCCAGAACUUUCCAGUGUCUUUCUGGUUUGUGCCUCUCCUAGAGACAACCACCGUUGAGGAAACCUUAUCCUCGCCUUCCAGGAGCCAGAUCGCCAGAUGAGGGCUCCCCGGAAACAGCCACACCCAGACACUGAGCCUGCGGGCUUUCCUCCUCCCUCCUGUUGGUCCAUCUGAAGCUGGUCCCUCAGGGGGGGCGGGGGGGGGGGGCCCAGGGCUCUGCCUCCCACCCCUGCCGCCUUCUUGGGGCCCAAGGGUUCACCGAGACCCUUACUGCUCCUUCAACUUGCUCCUUCUCAACCACGUCUCCUUGUCUUUAAAAGAAGUCCUCUGGGGGCACCUGGGUGGCUCAGUGGGUUGAGCCUCUGCCUUCGGCUCAGGUCAUGAUCCCAGAGUCAAGGGA